rnacentral:rRNA from 1 species
GAUGAAUGCUGGCGGCGUGCCUAACACAUGCAAGUCGAGCGGCAGCGAGGGGUGCUUGCACCCUGUCGGCGAGCGGCGAACGGCUGAGUAACGCGUAGGAAUUUGCCCCAAAGUGAGGAAUAACUGCCCGAAAGGGUAGCUAAUGCCGCAUAUGGUCUUCGGAUUAAAGGAUUUAUCCGCUUUGGGAGAAGCCUGCGUUGGAUUAGGUUGUUAGUAGGGUAAUGGCCUACCAAGCCGACGAUCCAUAGCCGGUCUGAGAGGAUGAUCAGCCAGACUGGAACUGAGACACGGUCCAGACUCCUACGGGAGGCAGCAGUGAGGAAUCUUCCACAAUGGGCGAAAGCCUGAUGGAGCAACGCCGCGUGAAGGAUGAAGGCCUUCGGGUUGUAAACUUCUUUUAUGAGUGAAGAAUAUGACGGUAACUCAUGAAUAAGCACCGGCUAACUACGUG